rnacentral:RNase_P_RNA from 1 species
UGAGCCGGUUGGGUGACCGCGGGCCGGCUUGACCGGUUCGAGGAAAGUCGGGGCUCCAAAGGGCAAGGUGCUGGCGAAUAACCAGUCGGAGUGAUCCGCAGGAAAGUGCAACAGAAAGCAAACCGCCGAUGGCCCGGUUUACCGGGCACAGGUAAGGGUGAAACGGUGCGGUAAGAGCGCACCAGCAUUCGAAGCGAUUCGGAUGGCUCUGUAAACCCCACCUGGAGCAAGGCCGAGCGUCGGGAUUGACUGCCCGUCAGUUGUUUCGAAAGAGACAACACCCGCUGGUAGGCCGCACAGAUGGAUGGUCACACAGGCGCCGGGAGGCGCUGGACAAAACCCCGCUUACAGACCGACUCACCAU